UGGGGAAUAUUGGACAAUGGGCGAAAGCCUGAUCCAGCCAUGCCGCGUGUGUGAAGAAGGUCUUCGGAUUGUAAAGCACGUUAAGUUGGGAGGAAGGGUAGUAAGCGAAUACCUUGCUGUUUUGACGUUACCGACAGAAUAAGCACCGGCUAACUCUGUGCCAGCACCCGCGGUAAUACAGAGGGUGCAAGCGUUACUCGGAAUCACUGGUCGUAAAGCGAGCGUAGGUGGUACGUUAAGUUGAAUGUGAAAGCUCCGGGCUCGACCUGGGAACUGCAUCCAACUCUGGCGAGCUAGAGUAGGGCAGGGGGUAGUGGAAUUUCCUGUGUAGCGGUGAAAUGCGUAGAGAUAUUAAGGAGCACCACUGGCGAAGGCGACCAGCUGGGCUCAUACGGACACUGAGGUGCGAUGGCGUAGGGAGCAAACAGG
rnacentral:rRNA from 1 species